rnacentral:misc_RNA from 1 species
AAGUCGUAACAAGGUUUCCGUAGGUGAACCUGCGGAAGGAUCAUUACAAUUCUUGGGCGUGCCCAUGUCGGGAGGCGCUGUAAGCCCGCAUAGUUUAAAUGCACUGAAGAGCGGCAGGCGCUUCUGUCUGAACCCUUGUCCUUUGCGCACCUUUGUUUCCGCGGCGGGUUCGCCCGCCGGCUGGACUAUACUAUAACCUUUUUAAUUUUCAAUCAGCGUCUGAAAAAACAAAUAAUUACAACUUUCAACAACGGAUCUCUUGGUUCUG